rnacentral:rRNA from 1 species
UACGUAGGGGGCAAGCGUUGUCCGGAUUUAUUGGGCGUAAAGAGCGUGUAGGCGGCCAUACAGGUCCGUUGUGAAAACUGGAGGCUUAACCUCCAGACGUCGAUGGAAACCGUAUGGCUAGAGUCCGGAAGAGGAGAGUGGAAUUCCUGGUGUAGCGGUGAAAUGCGCAGAUAUCAGGAGGAACACCAAUUGCGAAGGCAGCUCGCUGGGACGUAACUGACGCUGAGACGCGAAAGCGUGGGGAGCAAACAGG